rnacentral:rRNA from 1 species
UACGGAGGGUGCAAGCGUUGUUCGGAUUCACUGGGCGUAAAGCGCAUGUAGGCGGGUCGGCCAGUCCUGUGUGUAAUCUCCCGGCUUAACCGGGAAACGGCAUGGGAUACUACCGGUCUUGAGUGCGAGAGAGGAUGGCGGAAUUCCUGGUGUAGCGGUGAAAUGCGUAGAUAUCAGGAGGAACACCGGUGGCGAAGGCGGCCAUCUGGCUCGACACUGACGCUGAGAUGCGAAGGCCGGGGGAGCAAACAGG